UUUUAUGGAGAGUUUGAUCCUGGCUCAGGAUGAACGCUGGCGGCGUGCCUAAUACAUGCAAGUCGAGCGAACGGACGAGAAGCUUGCUUCUCUGAUGUUAGCGGCGGACGGGUGAGUAACACGUGGAUAACCUACCUAUAAGACUGGGAUAACUUCGGGAAACCGGAGCUAAUACCGGAUAAUAUUUUGAACCGCAUGGUUCAAAAGUGAAAGACGGUCUUGCUGUCACUUAU
rnacentral:rRNA from 1 species